rnacentral:rRNA from 1 species
CUCUAGCCCAACACCCAAACUUUCACAAAAAAAAAACAAAAAAAUCAACUAUCACCUUAAACUAAAACAUUUCUCCCAUCUUAGUAUAGGCGAUAGAAAAGAUAUAGCGGCGCUAUAGAGAUAUGUACCGUAAGGGAAGGAUGAAAUAACAAUGAAAACCCAAGCUAUAAACAGCAAAGAUUAACCCUUGUACCUUUUGCAUCAUGAUUUAGCAAGAACAACCAAGCAAAGCGAAUUUAAGUUUGCCCUCCCGAAACCCAUGCGAGCUACUUAUAGGCAGCUAUCAAUGAGCGAACCCGUCUCUGUGACAAAAGAGUGGGAAGACCUAUUAGUAGAGGUGAAAAUCCAACCGAGCUGGGUGAUAGCUGGUUGCCUGUGAAGCGAACCUUAGUUCCCCCCUGAUUAGUACCAAGUGGGAAACCAAUUCAAGCCACCAUGUAAACUACCAGGAGCAAAUUAAAGGAGGUACAGCUCCUUUAAAACGGACACAACCCAUAUUAGUGGAUAACACACUUUCCCCUCAGUUGUGGGCCUUCUAGCAGCCAUCAACAAAGAUUGCGUCAAAGCUCAAUAUCGCCAAAAACCCACACACAACCACGACUCCCUUCACACUAACGGGCCAGCCUAUAAUGUAUAGGAGAAUUAAUGCUAAAAUGAGUAACCAGGGAAAUCUCCCUCUAAAGCGCAAACUUACAUCCUCACAUUAUUAACAAGUCUACCUAAUACCCCCAAACAUCAACAAGACUAGGUAUUCCAACCCCCUGUUAACCCAACUCUGGAGCGCCCUCUAGAAAGAUUAAAAUCUGUAAAAGGAACUAGGCAAACCCAAGGCCCGACUGUUUACCAAAAACAUAGCCUUUAGCGAACCAAGUAUUAAAGGUGAUGCCUGCCCAGUGACACUACGUUAAACGGCCGCGGUAUCCUAACCGUGCAAAGGUAGCGCAAUCAAUUGUCCCAUAAAUCGAGACUUGUAUGAAUGGCUAAACGAGGUCUUAACUGUCUCUUACAGAUAAUCGGUGAAAUUGAUCUCCCCGUGCAAAAGCGGGAAUAAACCCAUAAGACGAGAAGACCCUGUGGAACUUUAAAAUCAACAGCCAUUAUACACCAAAUUCUACCCUACCAGGCUUACCAUCCAAACCCAUGGCUGAUAUUUUUCGGUUGGGGCGACCUUGGAGAAAAACCAAUCCUCCAAAAAUAAGACCUAACCUCUUAACCAAGAGCAACCCCUCAACGUACAAACAGUAACCAGACCCAAUAUAAUUGACCAAUGAACCAAGCUACCCCAGGGAUAACAGCGCAAUCUCCUCCAAGAGCCCAUAUCGACGAGGAGGUUUACGACCUCGAUGUUGGAUCAGGACAUCCUGAUGGUGCAGCCGCUAUCAAGGGUUCGUUUGUUCAACGAUUAACAGUCCUACGUGAUCUGAGUUCAGACCGGAGCAAUCCAGGUCGGUUUCUAUCUAUGACUAGCCCCUCCUAGUACGAAAGGACCGGAGAGGCGGGGCCUAGGCUUCUAGCAAGCCCCCACACCAAAGUAAUGAACCCAACUAAAUUACAAAGGACCCCACCAUAACCUCCUAGAAAAGGACC